UGGGGGAUAUUGCACAAUGGGGGAAACCCGUGAUGCAGCGACGCCGCGUGGAGGAAGAAGGUUUUCGGAUUGUAAACUCCUGUCGUUAGGGACGAUAAUGACGGUAGCCAAGGAGGAAGCUCCGGCUAACUACGUGCCAGCAGCCGCGGUAAUACGUAGGGAGCGAGCGUUGUCCGGAUUUACUGGGUGUAAAGGGUGCGUAGGCGGAAGAGCAAGUCAGUAGUGAAAUCCAUGGGCUUAACCCGUGAACUGCUAUUGAAACUGUUUUUCUUGAGUGAAGUAGAGGUAGGCGGAAUUCCCGGUGUAGCGGUGAAAUGCGUAGAGAUCGGGAGGAACACCAGUGGCGAAGGCGGCCUACUGGGCUUUAACUGACGCUGAGGCACGAAAGCAUGGGUAGCAAACAGGAUUAGAUACCCUGGUAGU
rnacentral:rRNA from 1 species